ACUAUGUACGAAUCGUAUGCAUAUUCGAUAGUUACAAUUCUUUUCAUUUCUUGUGUUGAAACAAACACGCACCGUGGCCGCUACCGGCGGAGGCUGCGCGAACCGUGCGUGUCACGGGUCGUUGUUCUGCUUGCUUUAUGUCUUCUAUCUUCUAAAUCUUCUAUCGGUUUCGUUUUGGAUGGAUUAUAUCGCACUGUUUGAGAUUAUUAUUGUUGGUAAUUUUGACUUCGUUAUACGCACGUCAAAGCUAUAAAAUGAGCAAAAGAGUGUAUCAGUGCGGUUCAUUGAAAAGAAAACUCGCCAAAGAGAGAGAAGAGCAGAUUCGGAAACACCCGAAAUUAACAGUUUUUUUCACAUUCUUCUAAUUCGCAAGAAAAUGAGAUGCCGUGCGGUAGCUUUCAAAACAAUCAUAGUCCCAGAGAAAAAGUUAAUGAUAACACCGAAUAUUCAAAAGAAAUUUUAGAGGCAAUGCCCCACCUGAUCACUGAUGAUUUUUUAAACAGUAGCGGAAAAGAAUCCGAUGGAGGAAAGAGAAGUGGUAGUUGUGUUAGUGAUGCGAUUGGUACGCGCAUGUCUUAGGCUAAUUCUCUUACUGAUAUUUCCAAUUGCACAGUACCUCACACGCUACCUAAUAGUGCAAUAAUUACAGAUAUUCCACACCAAGUUCCAGCUCUCUGGCCACCAAGUUUAAAUGGAAAUAAAGUUAAUCGCGAAAAGUAUUUAAAUAAAGGAGUAGGAUAUUUUCAAAACGCAAAUUUUGAAAAUUCAAAGAGGGCAUAUCCAGGUCAAAAUAGAAAGUUUCCUCAAAAUACUUUCAACGUGAAUUGCCGAAUCGUGAAAAAUGUGAUAGAAUCUGACUCAAGUACUCUUCUUCACUUAGUGCGGUUUUUUGUUUUCCGUGUAAGAUUUUUUCAAAUAAUCAAGAAAAUAGUUUUGUAAAAACUAGGUUCUCAAAGUGGCACAAAUCGAACGAAUCUAUCUGUUCACAUGAAAAUAGCAAAGAACAUAUGCACUGUAUGAUGUUGUAUGUUGGCUAUAAGUUAGUGACUUUUCAUAUUGACAAAAAAAUGGUUGAAGGGAUAGAAAGCGAAAUAAAAUACUUGAUUGAAAUCUUGAAGCGUAUCGUUACUGUGAUACGUUUUUUUGCAGGGCGGGGAUUCCCGUUUCGUGGUAAGAAUGAAAAAUUUUCAUAAAUAACGAAAACUAUUUAGGUAUCUUAGAAUUUAUAUCCGAAUAUGAUCCAAUUCUUAAAUAGCAUAUUUGUUUAUACGCUGAAAAAGGUCGAGGUACCGUUGAACUCAAACAAUUCAUACCAUAGGUAAAAAUACAAAAUCAAGAACAGGUUAUUUCUCUAAUCGAUCGGACAAAAAGGCUUAAGAAACCGACAAUACAAUUUGUCCUAUACUAGUAUUGAAAUGGAUAGCCGAUAACGGUAUAGCACCUGUUUUCCCAAAUGUGUAUAUUGCUUACAGACUUCUUGUUAUUAUCCCUAUAGCAAAUUGUGAAAGCGAGCGAUCAUUUUCAGUAUUGAAAACAAUAAAAGAUUUGCAUAGAUCUACUAUGGGCGAUGAAACACUAUCUGCAUUGUCUCUUCUUACAAUCAAAAACGAGUUACUUCGAUUGAUUAACUUCGAUGACUUGAUAAAAGAAUUUACUGAAGCAAAAAGUCGAAAAAAAAAUAUUUGAUUUAUAUACAAAUCUUUGUAUUCUUAACGUAUAAAUAAAUUUUUAUUUGUUAUUGAAGUAAAUUUAAUUACACAAAAAUCUUCUCUACAAUGAGAACUCGAAUGUUCUUUUGUAUUUUUUUGUAUUUUGUAGUGUAAUUGUAAUGGAAGAUCUUGAUGAAACGGUCCUAAACAAACUUAAUAUAAAUAUUCUAUUCUUUGGUUCAGCAGUAAUGCAAACAUCUACAUAUCGGAAAAAGAAUGGAAUAUUUAUAUCAAUUUUUCUUAGGACAGUUUCCUCAAUACCUUCCAUUACCAAUUGUGCUAUAACACUUGAAAUGGAAGCUCCCAUAACACAACCAUCAAUUUGUUUGUAUAUUUCAUUUUCAUAUUUGAAAUAUGUUGUUGUAAGUGUGAGUUCUAUAGCAUUUAUAAAUUCAAUUUGUGGUAUUUCUGUAUAGUCUUUAAUUUUGUCCCAUUUUCUCAUUAAUAUAUUAAUCACAAUAGUAAUAGGAAUAUUUGUAUAUAAAGAAACCACAUCUAACGAAAUAAAUACAUAUUUAUUAGG